AAGAAAAGUUAAAGCUCAAAUCGGCCAUAUGAGUCGAAGAAAUGAAGGCCCAAUUUAAGCCCAGUAAAAAGAUAGAAAUUUUAUCCUCCAAAGGAUCCAAAUAUCCAUGACACGAUUGCACGAACAACCCAGAAACUCAAACUGAGCUCUGCAAUACUUCGUCUUCGAAUCAAAGUGGACGUCUUUUAAAACGAAAGAGGUCAAUGUUGAAUGCAGUCUCUGCCCCUAACACUUGUAUUUUCUGUCCAAGAAUUCCUCAAUUUCCUCAAAAGCGUCUAGUUUCAACAAAACUUUGUGUGCGUGCUUCGUUGCCAGAUGAAAAUGGUAGAUUUAAGGUGGAGUACACACCUUGGUUGAUUGUCGGUUUGGGUAACCCUGGGAAUAAGUACCACGGAACCAGGCACAAUGUUGGUUUUGAAAUGAUUGAUCACAUUGCUCAAGCCCAAGGAGUACUGAUGAAUACAGUUCAAUCAAAGGCUUUAAUUGGAAUAGGUUCCAUUGGCGAAGUACCAAUUUUAUUGGCAAAACCUCAGGCAUACAUGAAUUUCAGUGGGGAAUCGGUUGGGCCACUUGCUGCUCAUUAUCAAGUACCCUUGCGUCAUAUUUUAGUGAUUUACGAUGAGAUGAGUCUGAUGAAUGGUGUUCUGCGACUCCAGCCAAAGGGAGGCCAUGGCCAUCACACUGGGAUGAAAAGUGUUAUGGGACAUUUGGAUGGUUGUCGUGACUUUCCCCGAUUGUGUAUAGGAAUUGGAAAUCCACCUGGUAAUAUGGACAUGAAAGCUUUUCUUCUACAGAAAUUCAGCUCCGUGGAGCAGAAACAGUUUCAGAUCCUGUGAGAAUAAUCUACUAGAAAUUCGAUCUACUCAAUUAGAGGGUUUGUCUAGAUGCAAAGAUGGCAGAUCGAUGCGGCGUUAGAACAAGGAGUUGAGGCAGUGAGGUCGUUGGUGCUCAACGGAUUCAGCAGCAACAUCACAAGAUUUAAUAUGGGGCAGAAGUACAAGUAUCACAAAGUAUG